rnacentral:rRNA from 1 species
AUUGAACGCUGGCGGCAUGCCUUACACAUGCAAGUCGAACGGCAGCACGGGUGCUUGCACCUGGUGGCGAGUGGCGAACGGGUGAGUAAUACAUCGGAACAUGUCCUGUAGUGGGGGAUAGCCCGGCGAAAGCCGGAUUAAUACCGCAUACGAUCCACGGAUGAAAGCGGGGGACCUUCGGGCCUCGCGCUAUCGGGUUGGCCGAUGGCUGAUUGGCUAGUUGGUGGGGUAAAGGCCGACCAAGGCGACGAUCAGUAGCUGGUCUGAGAGGACGACCAGCCACACUGGAACGGAGACACGGCCCAGACUCCUACGGGAGGCAGCAGUGGGGAAUUUUGGACAAUGGGCGAAAGCCUGAUCCAGCAAUGCCGCGUGUGUGAAGAAGGCCUUCGGGUUGUAAAGCACUUUUGUCCGGAAAGAAAUCCUUGGCUCUAAUACAGUCGGGGGAUGACGGUACCGGAAGAAUAAGCACCGGCUAACUACGUG